rnacentral:rRNA from 1 species
CGUAGGUGGCAAGCGUUGUCCGGAAUUAUUGGGCGUAAAGCGCGCGCAGGCGGUCCUUUAAGUCUGAUGUGAAAGCCCACGGCUCAACCGUGGAAGGUCAUUGGAAACUGGGGACUUGAGUACAGAAGAGAAGAGUGGAAUUCCACGUGUAGCGGUGAAAUGCGUAGAGAUGUGGAGGAACACCAGUGGCGAAGGCGACUCUUUGGUCUGUAACUGACGCUGAGGCGCGAAAGCGUGGGAGCAAACAGGAUU